CUAUCAUCCAGCAAGAUGAUUGUUCUCAUCACAAACCUGUUCAAUAGUGGCUUUAUCAGAGUCAGCCGGAAUCACAUUUUCAGGCCUCUUAGCAGUCACAGGUAUAAUGAUCACAACCCUCAAGAACUCUGUGCACUGGCUGUGGAUUUGGUUCUGACUACGAGAGAAACAUGCAUUAUGCCUCCCGGCUGACUCACUCUCAAGAUAGUUUUGCUUUGUGAUGUGGCCUUGAGGCAAAGAUCGCAUUCUAAAUAUGAAAUGGUUCUGAAGGGAAUGGAUCGCACUGCACAAGAAAGCAGCAAGAAUCGAUCCAGCACUCAGCUACAAUUGCUCUUCACAUUCCUUUGGCUCAUGCUAGCCAAGUGAGUGAGAAGAGGGAUAUGCUACUGUGCUCCCAGCUUUUGCAGCUGGAGUAGACAGAGGAAGACUCCUGCUCGUGUAUAGAGCAGGAAAGAAAAAGGAGGGAAAAGACUGAGGGCAUGGGUGGUUCAGCGCAGGGGGUUGCAGAGGAAUACGAACUGUUUAAAGGGAGCCGCCUGACACACUGCAAGAGCAGGGCAGUAUCAACAAAGAAAGGGAUCACAGGAAGAGAAAGGUGGUAGUUAAGGAAGCUGAAAGUUACACCCUGUCCCUGCCACAGAGAUGCUGUGGCAUGUAUCACUUAAUUAUAAACUUUCAUCACUUAAAACUGAACUUCAGACAGGUCUUCAUUUUUGAAGCAAAAUUGUAAAUGCCCUGAAAAUCAAUUCCAAAAUUUUGGGAUUUCGGGCACACAGGACAGGCUGACACUUUAUUAAUAUUAUCUUCAGCCUCUGUGCCUUAAUCUUCCAUUUGUAAAGUGAGGAAAGCAUGCAUAUCUGAUCCAUAUGAUGAGAAUUAAAGUAACAUUAUGCACAAUAAAAAAAUCCAAAGGAACCAGAAUAUAUUAUUUACAGUAAAUAUAAAUUACCUAUACCCCUCACUGAAGGAGGGGGCAAAUAAACAAUAAACAACUUUCCACAUAUUGAGCUAAGCACUCUCCAUCCUAUACACUGAAUAAGGCAGAAGUCUUGGAAAAAACAGUAUGCAGUCGUAUAUGUAAAGACAUUAAUUCACAUGCAAAUGAAGACGAAUUAGAAACGAUUACUAGAAUUCAGUAAUUACUGCCUGAGUUGAGGCAGUCAUUGUGACUGAUAUACAAGCAGCUGACAAACAGCUCUGAGGUUAGGAUUAGAAUCGUCCGCCAGAUGGCAAUGCAAUCCUGCACAAGUGGCAGACCAGGGCCAAGCAAGGGACCUCGGGUACCUAUUAAAAGCCAGUCGUUCCAAUAGUGGAGUUUGUUCUUUUCUUUCAGUCUGCCUGAAAACUUUACAUCCGUACUGGGUGUGAUAACACACUCGCCAUUGUCUUCAAUUGUGACUCCUUCUGUUUUUGGACCCUCUAGUAAGGGUAUGGCACUGCCGCGGGGCUAGAAAGAGAGAUGAUUGUUACAAUUACAGAAGCACUGUGUCCCUGUAAUAUCUAAACAGGCCACUAAAUAAAAAAAUGGAGGUCAGAAUUGGUGGGCAAGCAAAAAUGACUGGCAGCAAAGUCACCGUAAGUAAACACUGCCAUUAUGCCCUCAGCGGCUGCUUCAACGACCUUGGACAUUAGACCUUCUAAGUUACAUGUUGCCUAGGAGAUGAGAUUACUCUCUCUUUUUUUAGAAAAGUUAAACAGAAUCUUUAUUUUGUACCUGGAAAGCCACAGCGUGAACGAUACAAAAUAUGAUGCAGUUUCCUAUCUACGGGGAGUUACUUUGAUGAACAAAUGAGCAAUUUUAGCAUUAAUCACAAUGCACCAACAAUACCAUGUAGCAACCUCUGGUCCACUCCUGCUAAUCUUGCCUGGCACAAUUCCUGAUGAGCUACAGUUACUUCUUUGCAGCAUUUGAAAUGAUUCCUGAAAUACGGUCAUGCAUUCUAAGGCUUACUGUUAAUUGUUUCAUGAAAUAUUUAAUUUGCUAUGGA